rnacentral:rRNA from 1 species
GAUGAACGCUGGCGGCGUGCCUAAUACAUGCAAGUCGAGCGAACAGACGAGGAGCUUGCUCCUCUGACGUUAGCGGCGGACGGGUGAGUAACACGUGGAUAACCUACCUAUAAGACUGGGAUAACUUCGGGAAACCGGAGCUAAUACCGGAUAAUAUAUUGAACCGCAUGGUUCAAUAGUGAAAGACGGUUUUGCUGUCACUUAUAGAUGGAUCCGCGCCGCAUUAGCUAGUUGGUAAGGUAACGGCUUACCACGGCGACGAUGCGUAGCCGACCUGAGAGGGUGAUCGGCCACACUGGAACUGAGACACGGUCCAGACUCCUACGGGAGGCAGCAGUAGGGAAUCUUCCGCAAUGGGCGAAGGCCUGACGGAGCAACGCCGCGUGAGUGAUGAAGGUCUUCGGAUCGUAAAGCUCUGUUAUUAGGGAAGAACAAAUGUGUAAGUAACUAUGCACGUCUUGACGGUACCUAAUCAGAAAGCCACGGCUAACUACGUG